rnacentral:rRNA from 1 species
ACACAUGCAAGUCGAGGGGCAGCAUGGUCUUAGCUUGCUAAGGCCGAUGGCGACCGGCGCACGGGUGAGUAACACGUAUCCAACCUGCCGUCUACUCUUGGACAGCCUUCUGAAAGGAAGAUUAAUACAAGAUGGCAUCAUGAGUCCGCAUGUUCACAUGAUUAAAGGUAUUCCGGUAGACGAUGGGGAUGCGUUCCAUUAGAUAGUAGGCGGGGUAACGGCCCACCUAGUCUUCGAUGGAUAGGGGUUCUGAGAGGAAGGUCCCCCACAUUGGAACUGAGACACGGUCCAAACUCCUACGGGAGGCAGCAGUGAGGAAUAUUGGUCAAUGGGCGAGAGCCUGAACCAGCCAAGUAGCGUGAAGGAUGACUGCCCUAUGGGUUGUAAACUUCUUUUAUAAAGGAAUAAAGUCGGGUAUGGAUACCCGUUUGCAUGUACUUUAUGAAUAAGGAUCGGCUAACUCCGUGCCAGCAGCCGCGGUAAUACGGAGGAUCCGAGCGUUAUCCGGAUUUAUUGGGUUUAAAGGGAGCGUAGAUGGAUGUUUAAGUCAGUUGUGAAAGUUUGCGGCUCAACCGUAAAAUUGCAGUUGAUACUGGAUAUCUUGAGUGCAGUUGAGGCAGGCGGAAUUCGUGGUGUAGCGGUGAAAUGCUUAGAUAUCACGAAGAACUCCGAUUGCGAAGGCAGCCUGCUAAGCUGCCACUGACAUUGAGGCUCGAAAGUGUGGUAUCAAACAGGAU